GUUUUGCUCUGAGAAUCAAAAGAUUAGUGAGGCCUGAGUAGGCUGUGUGAUCCUGAAAGCACUUAACUCAAUGUGGAAUACUUAUUGCCUAGAAGGGUAAAUGUAAAUGUUUUCUAAAAGCAAAGGAAGCAAGCUACCUUAAAAGAUGCCUUUGCCCUGGCUUUAUUUAUUUUUAUUUUUUCUUUUUAUUUAUAUAUGACAGCGGAAUGCAUUACAAUUUUUAUUACACAUAUAGAGCACAAUUUUUCAUAUCUCUGAUUGUAUACAUAGUAUAUUCACACCAAUUCAUGUCUUCAUACCUGUACUUUGGAUAAUAAUGAUCCUCACAUUCCACCAUCAUUAAUAACCCCAUGCCCCCUUUCUUUUCCUCCAACCCCUCUCUGCCCUAUCUAGAGUUUGUCUAUUCCUCCCAUGAUCCCCCUCCCUACCCCACUAUGAAUGAACCUCCUUAUAUCAAAGAAAACAUUUGGCAUUUGAUUUUUUGGGAUUGGCUAACUUCACUUAGCAUUAUCUUCUCUAACUCCAUCCAUUUACCUGCAAAUGCCAUGAUUUUGUUCUCUUUUAUUACUGAAUAAUAUUCCAUUGUGUAUAUAUGCCACAUUUUUUUUAUCCCAAAGGACUUUAAAACAGCAUACUAUAGGGACACAGCCACAUCAAUAUUUAUAGAAGCACAAUUCACAAUAGCUAAACUGUGGAACCAACUUAGAUGCCCUUCAAUAGAUGAAUGGAUAAAAAAAAUGUCCUGGCUUUAUAAAUGAGAAAUGGAAGCUGUUAUGAGCUGAGGCAUGUGUCUCUCUCCCCAAAAUCAGAUGUUGAAAUCCUAAUCGUCAGUUCCUCAGCCUAUACUCUUAUUUAGAAAAGCAGUCAUUGCAGAUGCAAUAGUUAAGAUGGGUUCAUACUGAAGGAGAGUGGGUCCCUAGUCUAAUAUGAUUAAUAUCCUUAUAAGAGACCUAGAGGAAAGACAGUGUGAGGAGAUAUAGCAAGGAGAUGGACAUCUAUAAACCAAGGAGAGAUGCCUGUGUCAGUUCCCUCCCUUGAAGCUUUGAGAGGGAACCAACCGUGCUGAUACCCUGAGUUCAAACCUGUAACCUCUAAAAGUACAAGUCACCUACUGUGUGGUACUUUGUUAUAGCAACCUUAGCAAACUAAUUCAGAAGCCAUUUAAAUAAAAGUAUUGGUUACCGAGUCAGAAGUUUUUUUUGUCAUGUCUCUGAGCACAGUUAUAGAGCAUAUCAGAAGGGCUUGAGUAUUUUUUUAAUACCUUUGAAUAUGAUGUAUUUUGAA
rnacentral:lncRNA from 1 species